rnacentral:rRNA from 1 species
CUACGGAGGGUGCGAGCGUUAAUCGGAAUUACCGGGCGUAAAGCGCGCGUAGGCGGUUUGGUCAGUCAGAUGUGAAAGCCCUGGGCUCAACCUGGGAACUGCAUUUGAUACUGCCAGGCUAGAGUAUGGUAGAGGGAAGUGGAAUUCCGGGUGUAGCGGUGAAAUGCGUAGAUAUCCGGAGGAACACCAGUGGCGAAGGCGACUUCCUGGACCAAUACUGACGCUGAGGUGCGAAAGCGUGGGUAGCAAACAGGAUUAGAUACCCUAGUAGUCC